GACGAACGCUGGCGGCGUGCUUAACACAUGCAAGUCGAACGGAAAGGCCUGCUUUCCCUUGUGGAUUGCGGGUACUCGAGUGGCGAACGGGUGAGUAACACGUGAGUGAUCUGCCCCCAACUUGGGUAUAAGCCUGGGAAACUGGGUCUAAUUCCCGAUAGGACUGCAGGGUGGUACCUGUGGUGGAAAACGAUUUUCUAGUGGUUGGGGAUGAGCUCGCGGCCUAUCAGCUUGUUGGUGGGGUAAUGGCCUACCAAGGCGGCGACGGGUAGCCGGCCUGGGAGGGUGGACGGCGUCAUUGGGACUGGGAUACGGCCCCGACUCCUACGGGAGGCAGCAGUGGGGAGUAUUGCGCAAUGGGCGGAAGCCUGAUGCAGCGACGCCGCGUGGGGGAUGACGGCCUUCGGGUGGUAAACUCCUUUCGACCGCGAGGAAGCCACCUGGUUGGAAGGGUGGUGACGGUAGUGGUAGAAGAAGCACCGGCUAACUACGUG
rnacentral:rRNA from 1 species